AAGAGAAGGGAAGAGAAUAGAAGGUACAGGAAGAGAAGAGAAGGGAAGAGAAUAGAAGGUACAGGAAGAGAAGAGAAGGGAAGAGAAUAGAAGGUACAGGAAGAGAAGAGAAGGGAAGAGAAUAGAAGGUACAGGAAGAGAAGAGAAGAGAAUAGAAGGUACAGGAAGAGAAGGGAAGAGAAUAGAAGGUACAGGAAGAGAAGAGAAGGUACAGGAAGAGAAGAGAAUUGAUCACAUUAUAGAACAGCCCCUCUGGACAUCCUGUUGUUUAUUUUACAACGUGAGACAGGGCUCUCUCUCUUUCCUCCUCCUGUCUCCCUCUCUCCUCUGUCCUCAACUCUCUCUCUGCCCUCCUCUUUCUCUGUCCUCCUCUCUCUCUUUCCUCCUCCUGUCUCCCUCUCUCCUCUUUGCUCACUCUCUCUGUCCUCAACUCUCUCUCUGCCCUCCUCUUUCUCUGUCCUCCUCUCUCUCUU
rnacentral:lncRNA from 1 species